rnacentral:lncRNA from 1 species
AACUGCCAGCACGUGCUUACCGUGUUCCUUCCUUUAUGACUGGCUGCUGUUCACUGCUGACCGACACCUGCCGAACCACAGCGCCUUCUUCUCACGGGAGAGUCUUCUGAUGUGUGUUCAGUGUUCUCCACAGCGGGCUGAAGAGGCCGGAGUUGUCAGGCAAGAGACUGACUUGUCUGCUUGUACUUGAAAUGGAUUCGAAGAAACACAUGCAUUUGUCGAGGGGAAAACGCUUUCAAGGAGAGACCAUUUGAUGCUAAAAGGACCAUUUGAUGCUCUUUUAACCCUCUUGGUUUUAUUCAACUCCUUUCAUUACUUUCUGUUCCUGGCACCUUACCGAAGGAAGAAUAUGCCAAGAGUUUGAAUGAUGAAAGAGUAUUCUAUAUUUUUAGCUAUAUUUGCAUUUUACAAGUUUAUUUGAAAGAUAGUUUUGUGCAGUUAAUCUUUUUUUCUGUUUAAAUUAUUUUGAAAAUCUUAAAAAUAUCAUUUUUAGCCUUUUAAAUAAAUAUCAAAAUGCCCAUUACAAAAGGCUUCUUCAAUUCCAUGUAAGAAUUUAACUGUAAUAUGAACCAGGCUUAGAUGACGUCUAUAAAUUAGCCCAAGAAAAUUCCUGUAAUUCCUGGCUAUGAGGUUGUUUCUGAGGGGUGGUGGAUUUCUGGUCAUCCCAUAUUUCCUCAAUGCCUCCUACUUCAAGAGUAGAAAAUAUCGAUAGCGUCGCUGCUCAUGGGCAAAGGCCCAGUUGUCCUUCAGGAUGAUCUCAGUUCUGAUGAAUAUUUGGGUCUAUGAAAAGAAAAUUAUAGAAUAUUAAAA